rnacentral:rRNA from 1 species
UACGAAGGGGGCUAGCGUUGUUCGGAAUCACUGGGCGUAAAGGGCGCGUAGGCGGCUUUGUAAGUCGGGGGUGAAAGCCUGUGGCUCAACCACAGAAUUGCCUUCGAUACUGCAUGGCUUGAGACCGGAAGAGGUUAGUGGAACUGCGAGUGUAGCGGUGAAAUGCGCAGAUAUCAGGAAGAACACCCGUGGCGAAGGCGGUGCUCUGGGACGGUACUGACGCUGAGACGCGAAAGCGUGGGGAGCGAACAGG